CACCCACCUCUUGAAAAUAUGCGUCAUACAAACAGUUACAGGAGUUAUAAUAAAAAUGCUUCAGUAUAUCUUACUGAAGAUCAGUUGAGGAAAAUUUUCAUGCAAUUCGACGUCAAUCACGACAAUGUUUUAAGCAGAGAUGAGAUAAAGAAAGCUUUCGACUACAUUGGCGCAUGGUUUCCAGGCUACAGGGCCAGAGAUGGGAUUAGACAUGCUGAUGCCAAUGGAGAUGGAGUGGUCGACUUGAACGAGUUGGAUGAUCUCGUCAAUUACGCUUGUAAAAUUGGGUAUUACAUUAAGUAGAACUUGGAAGCUGGAAAAUUUAUAGUACAUAAAAUAAAUGGUUUUGUGUGCUGCCAUAAAUUUUCUUAGUUGCUAUCUUUAUGUGCUAUUCACUGGCUACCAAGUUUUAGCCUGUUUUCUGUUGUACUAUUAACCCUAAAGAGGAUAAUCCUCCUAUUAAUUAUAUACGCUUCCCUUAUAUGGGCUUUUAAAAUUAAAUUCUAA
rnacentral:misc_RNA from 1 species